CUGCAACAUCCUCCAGCAUGACCGGUUUGGCAGUGGGUCAGUAAUGGUGUGGGGUGGCAUUUCUUUAGGGGCCGCACAGCCCUCCAUGUGCUCACCAGAGGUAGCCUGACUGCCAUUAGGUACUGAGAUGAGAUCCUCAGACCCCUUGUGAGACCAUAUGCUGGUGUGGUUGGCCCUGGGUUCCUCCUAAUGCAAGACAAUGCUAGACCUCAUGUGGC